rnacentral:lncRNA from 1 species
AGCUACAUCCGUCACCUGACACGGCCCUACCAGGAACAGCCGCGCUCCCGCGGAUUCUGGUGCUGCUCGCGUCCCCGCUCCCCUAUUCCCCUUAUUUUAUUCCUGGCUCCCCUCGUCGAAAGUCUUCCAUUCUUCAAACUAGAUUAUUUAAAAAUGAAAAAGGAAGAAAGGAAAGCGAGGUCAUCUCAUUGCUCUAUCCGCCAAUCAGGAGGCUGAAUGUCAGUUUUGAACUAAAAGCCGCUCCGCUCCUCUUCUAGAUUUGGAAAACAAGCGAAAUUAAACUAAACCGCUGCACGCCUCUGACGCGACAUCUGGACACGGCGCGGCGCUGGCGCUGCCGGAGCUGUCGACCCGGCCUGGCGCCGGACUAGUGUCCCUUUUGAUGAGAAGAAUAAGCCUCAUUCUGAUUCAACAGCAGAGAUCAAAGAAAAGACUUCUGUUUUCUGGCCACCAGAUAUAUGUUAUCUGUGCUUAAAGAAUUGAAAAACACACAUCAAAGGAGAAUUUUCUUGGAAAGAGAGGGUUCAAGCAUCACUGUUAGGUGUGCUGGAAUCCUUUCCCGAGUCAGUACUGCUUUCUAGAAGAAAACCGGGGAGAUCUAUUUGGAAUGUAUCUAACUCCAAAGAAACCAUCAGAGGUAACAGUAGAGACGGGGUUUCACCAUGUUGGCCAGACUGGUCUUGAACUCUCGACCUCGUGAUUCGCCCGCCUCGGCCUCCCAAAGUGCUGGGAUUACAGGUGUGAGACACCACACCCGGCGGAUAGAGAGAAUUUUGACAGAUAUGACACAUUCAUAAUUUAAACAGAAGCCUACGAAGAACUCAUAAAUUAAAAGAAGAUAAUCUUUUCACAAGGUGAUGGAGGCUUUUUAUUUUGCCACAAAACCACUGGUGACGUUGCCUGUGGCCACCUUGGAGAAGACACUGGAGGUACCAGAGAUAUAAUAAUGAGAAACAGACAUGCUCCCUCCCCUCAUUGAGGUUACAGCUUAGUGUGGAGACACACAGAUGCCUAACGCACUAUGGUAUGGAAGGUGCUAUGGACACAGUGCUCAAAUCCAUGAUCUACAUAGGUGGAGAACUUCAGUAGAGGAAGUGGCAGGAAUUUGGGAAUGAGGAGCACAGUGAUUAAACUGGGGCCAUUCAUAUGAGAGUUUAAGAACUCAGACCAGUGACUUAGAUUGGCUUCUCUCACAUGGCAAGAAACAUUGCUGCUAGCACUUCCCGAGUUCUACGUUCUACAACAUCCACCACUGGAUCUUAACAUAGACGUAAGAUCAAAUGCAAUAGCAUGUCAAACAAUGUGUAACUCCAGUUAUACAAACAUUACUGUAUCUCAUUGGGGAUACGAAGCUCUACACACUUGAAGAUGGUGAAGGAAUAUAAAAAUCUAUGUCUCACAGUCCAGACUUGGAGUACAAGUAAUAAGAAGAAUAAAACUUAAUCCCUUAAGUAGAUUCACCAUAAGUUAGCUCAGAGCAAUUCCAGUGCAAGUAUGGUCUGUGAUCCAGUAGUAUCUUACAGACAGCAAGUUGAACAUUGUGGGAUGCAUGAGCUAUUGAGGCCUUUGCAGCUUUCUGCUACAUGGAGGCUAGGGCCAGAGUCAAGAUUUAUGCUUUGCAGCACACUGGUCAGCUGUUUUUGCAAAUCAGAUUAAAUGAUUUUUAAAUGAGGCUGAGAGCAUGGGAGAUACUAAUGUGUGUUUCCUUGUGAGCUACUGCAUAAGUUAGGAAAUUGAAAUACAGAAAGAUGAAAAGUGAUUUGCCCAAGCAUAUAGAUCAAAGCUGUGGCAGAACCAGGACUGGAACCUAUAUCUCUCUACUAAUGGUUUUUUUAAAAAAAUAACCUUGUUUCAAAAAUAUUAAAAAGUCACAAGAAAGGUAAACAUGUGGAUAAACAAAAUGAAGAAAAUAAAAAUUAUCCAGUAAUAACAUA